rnacentral:rRNA from 1 species
GUAAGGAAUAUUGGACAAUGGUCGCAAGACUGAUCCAGCCAUGCCGCGUGCAGGAAGACGGCCCUAUGGGUUGUAAACUGCUUUUGUACCAGAGAAAACCUAUCUACGUGUAGAUAGCUGAUAGUAUGGUAAGAAUAAGCAUCGGCUAACUUCGUGCCAGCAGCCGCGGUAAGACGAAGGAUGCAAGCGUUAUCCGGAUUCAUUGGGUUUAAAGGGUGCGUAGGCGGGCUUGUAAGUCAGUGGUGAAAUCUCUCAGCUUAACUGAGAAACUGCCAUUGAUACUGCAGGCCUAGAGUAUAGAUGACGUUGGCGGAAUAUGACAUGUAAUGGUGAAAUACUUAAAUAUGUCAUAGAACACCGAUUGCGAAGGCAGCUAACGAAACUAUAACUGACGCUAAGGCACGAAAGUGCGGGGAUCAAACA